GGUCGGAUAGCUCAAUUGGCAGAGCGACUCCUUGAAAUGCAGAACUUAUAGCCCAGUCAGGAGGUCGCUGCCCCUGACGUCCUAGGUAGCCCCGAAGACAUUUUGGGGGUUAUAAGGGAAGUAACUGGUAGGAGGAGGUUGCAGGUUCGAUCCCUGCUUUGGCCA